AUUGAACGCUGGCGGCAGGCCUAACACAUGCACGUCGAACGAGUGGCGGACGGGUGAGUAAUGUCUGGGAAACUGCCCGAUGGAGGGGUAUAACUACUGGAAACGGUAGCUAAUACCGCAUACCAUCGGAUGUGCCCAGAUGGGAUUAGCUAGUAGGUGGGGUAACGGCUCACCUAGGCGACGAUCCCUAGCUGGUCUGAGAGGAUGACCAGCCAAACUGGAACGGAGACACGGUCCAGACGCCUACGGGAGGCAGCAGUGGGGAAUAUUGCACAAUGGGCGCAAGCCUGAUGCAGCCAUGCCGCGUGUAUGAAGAAGGCCUUCGGGUUGUAAAGUACUUUCAGCGAGGAGGCGUUACCCGCAGAAGAAGCACCGGCUAACUCCGUGCCAGCAGCCGCGGUAAUAC
rnacentral:rRNA from 1 species